UGGAGUAACCUUUUAGGAGCUAGCCGUCGAAGGUGGGACAAAUGAUUGGGGUGAAGUCGUAACAAGGUAGCCGUAUCGGAAGGUGCGGCUGGAUCACCUCCUUU
rnacentral:rRNA from 1 species